ensembl:lncRNA
CCUUGAUUCUCCUUUCCCGGGAACACUCCACAUCUGUCCUUCAGUACGAACCGGGACGAGCAGGUGACCUACGCUGCUCAGCUGGACAGAUGUCCUCUUGACCACUUCACCCGAGGAAGAAGGAGCUAGUUCCAGAUCCUUUUCCCUGAAAACACCCCCUGUGGAACAGGAGUGGAAGAAACAAUUAGAUCAGAAAUAUUUAUCACUGGGACCGAAUUUUAACUAGAGUCACGGAACAAAGAAGAGCCUGGGGCUCCAGAGACAAAGUGAAGCUGAGAAUUAAAACAACUAUCCGGAUCAUUCAGGAGGAGAAGUAUCAUCAUUUUUGCUUGAAUAAGUGUCUGAAUUAUCUGAAUAGUUGUUCCCAUCCUCUUUUUGGUCUGAUGGGGAAGAUCUGGCCAAUAGAUCCAGUAGCGAAAAAUGGAAGUUGGGAGCACAGCGAGAGAAAGGACAGGAAGGCUGGUUGAGCCUGAAUCCCUCUGGCCCUCCAAGGGGUGGUGGAUAGAGCCUGGCUCAGUCAGGGGCUGGGGGUUCCUUGGAGCUGGUGGCAAGAAAGUAAACAAAGCUAAAAAAACACAUGGAAAACCAAGGUCCAACAAACCGGAGAUGCAGCCUGAAGGGAACUGGAUUUGGUGUGUGGUGCUGGGAACCUGGAAGACAAAGCAAAACAGAAUCAGGAGCUGUGUGUGUGUGCAUGUGCAUGCGCGUGUUCAGAAAGGGUAAAACGAUUGCCCGCACCGGGGUUCCCCAACCUGGCUGCACAUCACUUUUACCUGCUAAGCUUCUAAAUGCAGACUCUUGGGCUCCACUGGCAGACCAAAAGCAGCGGAAUUUCCUGGGGCAGGGGUGGCCUGCUGGUGUGCAAAUGGAAGGUAUGAUCUUAU